AACGCACAUUGCGCCCGCCAGUAUUCUGGCGGGCAUGCCUGUUCGAGCGUCAUUUCAACCCUCAAGCCCAGCUUGGUGUUGGGGAUCGGCAGCGCGCCCUCGGGCGCCGCCGUCCCCUAAAUCUAGUGGCGGUCCCGCUGCAGCCUCCUCUGCGUAGUAGUUUUCUCCUCGCAAGGGCAGCUCGGUGGCGACCUCGCCGUAAAACCCCCAACUUCUGAAAGGUUGACCUCGAAUCAGGUAGGAAUACCCGCUGAACUUAA
rnacentral:misc_RNA from 1 species